rnacentral:rRNA from 1 species
ACUCGAGUGGCGAACGGGUGAGUAACACGUGGGUGAUCUGCCCUGCACUUCGGGAUAAGCCUGGGAAACUGGGUCUAAUACCGGAUAGGACGAUGUUUUGGAUGCCAUUGUGGAAAGUUUUCGGUGUGGGAUGAGCUCGCGGCCUAUCAGCUUGUUGGUGGGGUAAUGGCCUACCAAGGCGUCGACGGGUAGCCGGCCUGAGAGGGUGUACGGCCACAUUGGGACUGAGAUACGGCCCAG